GACGAACGCUGGCGGCGUGCUUAACACAUGCAAGUCGAACGGAAAGGCCCUGCUUUUGUGGGGUGCUCGAGUGGCGAACGGGUGAGUAAAACGUGAGUAACCUGCCCUUGACUUUGGGAUAACUUCAGGAAACUGGGGCUAAUACCGGAUAGGAUCUCUUGAUGCACGGUGGGGGUUGGAAAGUUUCGGCGGUUGGGGAUGGACUCGCGGCUUAUCAGCUUGUUUGUGAAGUAGUGGCUUACCAAGGCUUUGACGGAUAGCCGGCCUGAGAGGGUGACCGGCCACAUGGGGACUAAGAGACGGCCCAGUAUCCUACGGGAGGCAGCGGUCGGGAAUAUUGCAGAACAGGCGCACGCCUGAUGCAGCAACCCCGCGUGCGGAAUAACGUCCUACGAGUUAUGAACCGCUUUCGCCGGUGACGAAGCGUGAGUGACGGUAAUGAAUAAAGAAGCACCGGCUAACUACGUG
rnacentral:rRNA from 1 species